AAACUUACCUGGUAGGGGUUUUCUCAGGACAAGGCGUAUCCAUUGCACUCUGGAUAUGCUGACCCCUACGAUUUCCCAAAUGUGGGAAACUCAACUGCAUAAUUUGUGGUGGUGGGGGACUGCAUUUGCACUUUCCCCUG
ensembl:snRNA U1 U1 spliceosomal RNA